rnacentral:rRNA from 1 species
UGCCAGCCGCCGCGGUAAUACAUAGGGGGUUAGCGUUGUUCGGAAUUACUGGGCGUAAAGCGUACGUAGGCGGAUCAGAAAGUAUGGGGUGAAAUCCCAGGGCUCAACCCUGGAACUGCCUCAUAAACUCCUGGUCUAGAGUUCGAGAGAGGUGAGUGGAACUCCAAGUGUAGAGGUGAAAUUCGUAGAUAUUUGGAAGAACACCAGUGGCGAAGGCGGCUCACUGGCUCGAUACUGACGCUGAGGUGCGAAAGUGUGGGGAGCAAACAGGAUUAGAUA